CUUCCGGUUCCAGUUCUUUAUAUCAGUUCAGAUAGGGGACAAAAAUAAGCUCUGAGGAGUCACAACAAGCUGCUUGUUCGGCAGACUAUCAACCCAUCAGGACCACAUCACACCUCCUUCCUAAACAUCUGGUUUCGCUCACACACAUCGUCCAAUCAGGAAAGAGGAUAACUAUCCGAAACAUCAGCUAGAGAGCAUGUUGUGUUCACGGGGCAGAAAUACACCAUAGACGAGACGGCAGUCCACGGGAGGUUGGAGGAAACUGGAGAACCCAGAGGGAUCCUCAUGCCCUGCAUGUGAAAAAUGAACAUGUGAUUCAUUCAAAAGUAAUACCUU